rnacentral:lncRNA from 1 species
AAAAAGUCAGGUUGACCAUGGCAUAUGAGAUGAAAGGCCUCUAAUACAUGGCAUAUGAGAUGGACAAGGGAGGACCAUAAGCAAUCCCUAAGUCAAACAUCGAUCAUAAAGAAGUCAAUUGAAAAUUCAAGUCAACUUAAUAAUUAUCAAAUAAAUAGCAAAUUAAUCAAAAAAAUUAUGAAAAAUUAAACUAAGUAAGGUGCGGUCAGG